rnacentral:rRNA from 1 species
CUUGACCUCAAAUCGGGUGAGACUACCCGCUGAACUUAAGCAUAUCAAUAAGCGGAGGAAAAGAAACUAACAAGGAUUCCCCUAGUAACUGCGAGUGAAGCGGGAAAAGCUCAAAUUUGAAAUCUGGUGGUCUUUGGCCACCCGAGUUGUAAUUUAGAGAAGCGUCUUCCGCGCUGGACCGUGCACAAGUCUCCUGGAAUGGAGCGUCAUAGAGGGUGAGAAUCCCGUCUUUGGCACGGACACACCAGGGCUUUUGUGAUGCGCUCUCGAAGAGUCGAGUUGUUUGGGAAUGCAGCUCAAAAUGGGUGGUGAACUCCAUCUAAAGCUAAAUAUUGGCGAGAGACCGAUAGCGAACAAGUACCGUGAGGGAAAGAUGAAAAGCACUUUGGAAAGAGAGUGAAACAGUACGUGAAAUUGUUGAAAGGGAAACGCUUGAAGUCAGUCGCGUUGACCGAGACUCAGCCUUGCCUCGGCUUGGUGUACUUCUCGGCCGACGGGUCAGCAUCAAUUUUGCCCCUUGGAUAAUGGCGAGGGAAAUGUGACACCAUUACGGUGUGUUAUAGUCUCUCGUCGCAUGCAAGGGUCGGGAUUGAGGAACUCAGCACGCGCCUUUGGGUGUCGGGGCUUUGCCCACGAUACGUGCUUAGGAUGUUGGCGUAAUGGCUUUAAACGACCCGUCUUGAAACACGGACCAAGGAGUCUAACAUGCCCGCGAGUGUUCGGGUGGAAAACCCGUGCGCGCAAUGAAAGUGAAAGUUGGGACCUCUGUCGUGGAGGGCACCGACGCCCGGACCAGACCUUCUGUGACGGCUCUGCGGUAGAGCGUGUAUGUUAGGACCCGAAAGAUGGUGAACUAUGCCUGAAUAGGGUGAAGCCAGAGGAAACUCUGGUGGAGGCUCGUAGCGAUUCUGACGUGCAAAUCGAUCGUCAAAUUUGGGUAUAGGGGCGAAAGACUAAUCGAACCAUC